rnacentral:lncRNA from 1 species
UGUGAUAUAUUUGAUGCAUAACUUUCUAAAAACUUUAUAUUUUCCAAAAUUUCAUAAAAAAAAUUUUCUCAUAAGGAGACAUUGUGAAGCAUGCUGGGGGCAAAUAAGCCCUUCUAGAAUCUCAUUUUUCAGUCCAUAACUCUGAUCUUAUUUUCAUCUCUUGCAAAUCACGAUGAGCCCCCAAAUUAUCCUUUGAUUUCUUAUCAACAUUUAAUAAAGUACGCACAAGGUUACCA